rnacentral:rRNA from 1 species
GUUGAACGCUGGCGGCGUGCCUAAUACAUGCAAGUCGAGCGAACAGACGAGGAGCUUGCUCCUCUGACGUUAGCGGCGGACGGGUGAGUAACACGUGGAUAACCUACCUAUAAGACUGGGAUAACUUCGGGAAACCGGAGCUAAUACCGGAUAAUAUAUUGAACCGCAUGGUUCAAUAGUGAAAGACGGUUUUGCUGUCACUUAUAGAUGGAUCCGCGCCGCAUUAGCUAGUUGGUAAGGUAACGGCUUACCAAGGCAACGAUGCGUAGCCGACCUGAGAGGGUGAUCGGCCACACUGGAACUGAGACACGGUCCAGACUCCUACGGGAGGCAGCAGUAGGGAAUCUUCCGCAAUGGGCGAAAGCCUGACGGAGCAACGCCGCGUGAGUGAUGAAGGUCUUCGGAUCGUAAAACUCUGUUAUUAGGGAAGAACAAAUGUGUAAGUAACUCUGCACGUCUUGACGGUACCUAAUCAGAAAGCCACGGCUACCUACGUG